AGUGAACGCUGGCGGUAGGCCUAACACAUGCAAGUCGAACGGCAGCACAGUAAGAGCUUGCUCUUACGGGUGGCGAGUGGCGGACGGGUGAGGAAUACAUCGGAAUCUACUUUUUCGUGGGGGAUAACGUAGGGAAACUUACGCUAAUACCGCAUACGACCUACGGGUGAAAGCAGGGGAUCUUCGGACCUUGCGCGAUUGAAUGAGCCGAUGUCGGAUUAGCUAGUUGGCGGGGUAAAGGCCCACCAAGGCGACGAUCCGUAGCUGGUCUGAGAGGAUGGUCAGCCACACUGGAACUGGGACACGGUCCAGACUCCUACGGGAGGCAGCAGUGGGGAAUAUUGGACAAUGGGGGCAAGCCUGACCCAGCCAUACCGCGUGGGUGAAGAAGGCCUUCGGGUUGUAAAGCCCUUUUGUUGGGAAAGAAAAGCAGCAGGUUAAUACCCCGCUGUUCUGACGGUACCCAAAGAAUAAGCACCGGCUAACUUCGUG
rnacentral:rRNA from 1 species